CGACCCGUGAGCUGGGCCAGGUGAUCUGGACCAGGUGAGCUGGACCAGGUGAGCUGGACCAGGUGAUCUGGACCAGGUGAUCUGGACCAGGUGAGCUGGACCAGGUGAGGUGGACCAGGUGAUCUGGACCAGGUGAUCUGGACCAGGUGAGGUGGACCAGGUGAUCUGGACCAGGUGAGGUGGACCAGGUGAUCUGGACCAAGUGAUCUGGACCAGGUGUUCCUGCAUAAGGCUGAAGAUCCUGUGAACUCAACUCAUCCAGAGCGACAGAAAAAAGAAAAUAAAAGCCAGAAAGAAAA